rnacentral:rRNA from 1 species
UACGGAGGGUGCGAGCGUUGUCCGGAAUCAUUGGGCGUAAAGGGCGCGUAGGUGGCGGCUUAAGCGUGCGGUGAAAGCUCGGGGCUCAACCCCGAGGUCGGCCGUGCGAACUGAGUCGCUUGAGCACUGUAGAGGCAGGCGGAAUUCCGGGUGUAGCGGUGGAAUGCGUAGAGAUCCGGAAGAACACCGGUGGCGAAGGCGGCCUGCUG